rnacentral:misc_RNA from 1 species
AACCACCACAACCAUCCUAUUGCUAACAUCAUUAUCGCCACCACCACCAUUGACCACUGCUAUCACCAUUUAGUUAUUGUCACUUCUACCGCUACUUGACCACUAUCACCACUACUACUUCAUUUAGCCAUAAUCAUCACCUACCCAUUGUUGUUGCCACCAUCACCACCACCACUACCAUUCGAUUACUAAUUAUUAUAACAA